rnacentral:lncRNA from 1 species
UCAAGCCAGUGCAUACAUCCCGUGCUAGAAGACAUCUUCCCUCUGGGUCUCAACUUUGCUGCUGAUGGCUUAUUGGAUAUUUAGUAAGCUUUUCAUCCCUUAAAUAGGCAUAUGCCACUGGAUGAUGCCACAAGUAGGAGGACCUUUGGUCAUGUGACCAGUGUUUCGACUUUAUCAUGACAUGUGUCUCUUGGAGUGAGGCAAUGUAAUGUGGUAUCUCAAACUAAUAAAUUAAGCAUUUUGUAAGCCCCACGUGUUGGUGCUGUUAGAGCCACUAGAAGUGGGAAGGAAAAGCUAUCUCCAGAACAGGUGCCUCUUCAUUAAGGAUGAAUUACUGUCCCCUCUAGGAAUGCCAUAGUUCAAUAAUACUUCAUACUUGGUGUCAAAAUAAACUUUUGUGACAGACCUCUAAAUUCCCAUAAAUAAGUUUAGUACAUAGUAACUAAAUCAUCAUCAAAGUUUCUGAACAUCAUCAACGACAUGGCCAUAAGAGACUGAUUACUGGGGCAUUUCCAUGCAGUUCAGUGUUGAAUACAUUCAUCAUAGAGCAAUUUGACAGUUGCAAAAAUAGCAGAAUCAAGUUCUGCAAAUCCAGUUGAUGUUUGUAUGUUCCUUUUUGCUACUCGAGCGCCACAAUCUCAUCAGAGACAUUAAAUGAGGGAAGCAAUAAUUGCUUCAUUAACUGCAGCUGCUGAUGUUGAGUCACCUACAAUUAUAUAAUUAUAUACAUACACACAUAUCCACUUUUACUGGAUAAAUGUUUACUUAAUAUUUAUUUGAUCAAACUUUAUUAAGAGUUCACUGUGUGGAAACAGACACAGGCUCAUGUGCAGGCAUGGCAAUGUAUCAGAGAGAUAGAAUCCUAGUCUCUAGAAGAGAAGAUCUAAUCAUGAAAGAAAGAGCUUAAUGCAUGGAUUGGAUGGUGGCUUGUCUUGUAGAUCAUUUUGUCCUAUAGGUGGGUGCAGUGCUUAAAAAUAACUCAGUCUGCAAGUAGAAGAAUAACCUUGACCUUGAUGAAAAACUCAUUGCUCUGCAAACUCUGUUGCUACCCAAAGCAACAUAUAUCUUUCAAAGAUUUCUCAAAUGAGAAUAUAUAUUCAUCCAUAUUGACAAUAAAAUAGGCACAAAAAUAUGGAAGAGGAUAAGAGAAGGCUGUUGGAUGUUGGACCACCUAGACUAGUCUUCUAAUUUUCUUAUUUUCCA